AAAAAAUAAAUAAAAAAACAGUGAUUAUCCAUGUCAUCAGUUCAUGUCAUUUACCCUAAUCCACGUCAUCCGAAACCAAAAAUUCCCUUAAAACUUUCAGUUUCUCAUUUUUUCAGCACAUCUUACUGUUCAUCCGCGCAAAAAAAAAA
rnacentral:sRNA from 1 species